GAUGAACUCUGGCAGCGUGCUUAACACAUGCAAGUCGAACGGAAGGGCUCCUGCUUGCAGGGGUGCUAGAGUGGCGAACGGGUAAGUAACCCGUGGGUGAUCUGCCCUGCACUUCGGGAUAAGCCUGGGCAACUGGGUCUAAUACCGGAUAGGACGAUGGUUUGGAUGCCAUCGUGGCAAGUUUUUCGGUGUGGGAUGAGCUCGCGGCCUAUCAGCUUGUUGGUGGGGUAAUGUCCUACCACGGCGUCGCCGGGUAGCCGGCCUGAGCGGGUGUACGGCCACAUUGGGACCGAGAUGCGGCCCAGCCUCCUACGGGAGGGAGCAGUGGGGAUUAUUGCACAAUGGGCGCAACCCUGAUGCAGCGACGCCGCGUGGGGGAUGACGGCCUUCGGGUUGUACACGGCUUUCGCUAGGGACGAAGCGCAAGUGACGGUACCUGGAGAAGAAGCACCGGAUAACUACGUG
rnacentral:rRNA from 1 species